GAGAAACAAGAUGUAAAGGCGUAAGCCUUGGGUAGUUUCUAAGGGGUUUUACAGAGUGGUUUCCUUAGCCAUUCUUAGGAGAAUCACUUGUAACCUCUUGUAAUCCCUUUGUUCUAGUGGAUUCCGAGCAUAGUCUCGGCGAGAUGUAGCGACCCUCGUUAAUGGGCGUGAAAUCGUUAAAUGUCUGUGUGUUUUCCUUCUCUUAACUCUCACACUCUCUUAUCCAAAGCUCUCUCUGUUUCAUUCAUCUCAACAUAAAUCUGUUCUGUAUCUUUAAGUUAACACA
rnacentral:lncRNA from 1 species